rnacentral:rRNA from 1 species
UACGUAGGAGACGAGCGUUGUCCGGAGUUACUGGGCGUAAAGAGUGUGUAGGCGGUGCUCUAAGUUCGGUGUGAAAUCUCCUGGCUUAACUGGGAGGGUGCGCCGGAAACUGGAGUGCUCGAACGUGGGAGAGGAAAGCGGAAUUCCUGGUGUAGCGGUGAAAUGCGUAGAUAUCAGGAGGAACACCUGCGGUGUAGACGGCUUUCUGGACCAUUGUUGACGCUGAGACACGAAAGCGUGGGUAGCAAACAGG